AUUCCCUCACAUGAACUCAAUAUGUCAUGCUCUCCCCUAGAGAUUAUCUCAGAUUUAGCCCCCAAAUUUUCCCAACUGUAUGCUCAGUACUCAUCACCUCAUUUUUCCCUCCAAGUGUUCAUUCUCUAUUCUUGAGAUUUUGUCAAGUUUUUCCCCCAAAAUUUUCCUUGUCUACUACUGAGUACCUCAUUUUUACUCCAAUAUAUUCACUCUGUCUCUUACAAAUUGCAUCGAGUUUUACCCCAAAAAUUUUCCUUCCUGUACAAUAUUGAUUAGCUCUUUUCUGCUCCAAAAAUUUGCAUUCUCUCCCCUAAACAUCACCUCAGCUUUUCCCUCAGAAAUGUCACCUUGCUCCCCUUGACAUCCUCACGUUUUCCUACACAAACAGUUCUUGUGUCCCCUCUCAACUGUCCCAGGUUUUCAGCUAAAAAUGUCACCUCUGUCCCCUCUGAGUUACCCCAGGUGUUCCCUGUUAGGAGCUGCAAGGAAUUCGGGCAGGGUAAAAGACAGCAGGGAAAUCUGUAAAUUCAAAGCCAGAGAGAGAAGAUCUACCAGCAAAGGGGAAAGGUUUCAGAAAACAUUUCUGCAAUUACUAAUUAAUAAUAAUUUCCAAUUCCCAGAGAGAAGAACAUGAACUCACCACCAUUAAGGCCUGGCAGUUCCCUGCAUGAGAGCUCAGUGCACAUCCACAGAGGCAAUUCCCAUCUGAAAGAAAGAAAAGAAGAAAAAGGCACUUCUGCAAUCCAACCCUGAAGCUGAGCAGCCCAAAAGCUCUGGAGUCUGCUCUGGAACAAAAGGAUCCUCCCAGGGGAGCUGCAAGAGGAAUGUCAGUCCUUGGCUUCACCUCCUCAGUGUCACCUCGUUAGUCCAGGAGAUAAUUAAUUCAAAGGGAAUUCAUCUGGUCAGUGACAGAAGAUCAUCACAGCGAAAC